CUGACAAAGCUGGAGAAUGAAGUCCAUCUGUUUAUCCAAAGAACAGGAUCAGCAAGGGCAGACAGUGUAAAUCUACCUGCGCUGUCUCAGCAGUGUCUCUCAGUUCCGACAAUAGGAAAGGUGGGCUGGUAGGCAAAUCUUCAUGCUACCUAUCGAAAUGCCUACA
rnacentral:sRNA from 1 species